UACGUAGGGUGCAAGCGUUGUCCGGAAUUAUUGGGCGUAAAGAGCUCGUAGGCGGUCUGUCGCGUCUGCUGUGAAAACUCAGGGCUUAACCCUGAGCUUGCAGUGGGUACGGGGCAGACUAGAGUGCGGUAGGGGAGUCUGGAAUUCCGUGGUGUAGCGGUGAAAUGCGCAGAUAUCAGGAGGAACACCGGUGGCGAAGGCGGGACUCUGGGCCGAUACUGACGCUGGAGGAAGCGAAAAGCGUGGGGAGCAAACAGG
rnacentral:rRNA from 1 species